GAAUCUUCCGCAAUGGACGAAAGUCUGACGGAGCAACGCCGCGUGAACGAUGAAGGCCUUCGGGUCGUAAAGUUCUGUUGCCAGGGAAGAACAAGUAUCGGAGUAACUGCCGGUACCUUGACGGUACCUGACCAGAAAGCCACGGCUAACUACGUGCCAGCAUCCGCGGUAAUACGUAGGUGGCAAGCGUUGUCCGGAAUUAUUGGGCGUAAAGCGCGCGCAGGCGGUUCCUUAAGUCUGAUGUGAAAGCCCCCGGCUCAACCGGGGAGGGUCAUUGGAAACUGGGGAACUUGAGUGCAGAAGAGGAGAGCGGAAUUCCACGUGUAGCGGUGAAAUGCGUAGAGAUGUGGAGGAACACCAGUGGCGAAGGCGGCUCUCUGGUCUGUAACUGACGCUGAGGCGCGAAAGCGUGGGGAGCGAACAGG
rnacentral:rRNA from 1 species